ACCGAGUUAGGGUUUGGUUUCUGCAAUUCAACCUCGCUCUAACACUCGAUCUCUCUCAAAAACUCGAAUCCAAUACUAUAAACUCACUAAAAUCGAACUCAAAUCUGCCGUCUAGUGGUAAUUGUGGUAGUAUUUUCAGACUUGCAGUUGUCGUCGGUGGAGCCUCUUCUCCUUCUGUGGUUCGUGGAAUGCAGUGGAGGCCUUCAAGAAUUAAAUAUGUUAGGCAAGGAGGAAUUAAGUAUCAGUUUGUAAAUUGCCAAACAAUUGGAGAAUAAUGUAAAUAUUUAUGGAUGUUUUUAAUAAAAAUGAAAUUUUAUAAUUA